AGAGAGCGUACCGGGAGCUGGUCCUCAUGAAGUGUGUGAACCAUAAAAACAUUAUUAGUUUAUUAAAUGUCUUCACACCCCAGAAAACGCUGGAGGAGUUCCAAGAUGUGUAAGUAACAAAACUCAUGAAGGAAGGGAGAGCACAGCACUCAGAUAGCCCAAGGGAAAAUCACACACCACACACACACACACACACACACACACACACACACACACACAGAGUUGAAAUCCCUUAUACUGCUCAAAGAGAGGUAAGAGGUGGGGUCAAAUGAAAGGGGUCCAGUGAUAUGUAAAGAAGAUUCUGUUUGUGGGGUUACUUCCUGGAAAGACAUUCUGCCUCCUUUUGGCCUUGUGGCUUUAUAUACUUUGUUGUUCCAUGCUCUUGG
rnacentral:lncRNA from 1 species